rnacentral:rRNA from 1 species
UAGGGAAUCUUCCACAAUGGACGAAAGUCUGAUGGAGCAACGCCGCGUGAGUGAAGAAGGAUUUCGGUUCGUAAAACUCUGUUGCAAGGGAAGAACAAGUAGCGUAGUAACUGGCGCUACCUUGACGGUACCUUGUUAGAAAGCCACGGCUAACUACGUGCCAGCAGCCGCGGUAAUACGUAGGUGGCAAGCGUUGUCCGGAAUUAUUGGGCGUAAAGCGCGCGCAGGUGGUUUCUUAAGUCUGAUGUGAAAGCCCACGGCUCAACCGUGGAGGGUCAUUGGAAACUGGGAAACUUGAGUGCAGAAGAGGAUAGUGGAAUUCCAAGUGUAGCGGUGAAAUGCGUAGAGAUUUGGAGGAACACCAGUGGCGAAGGCGACUAUCUGGUCUGUAACUGACACUGAGGCGCGAAAGCGUGGGGAGCAAACAGG